rnacentral:rRNA from 1 species
CCUACGGGAGGCAGCAGUGGGGAAUUUUGGACAAUGGGGGAAACCCUGAUCCAGCCAUUCCGCGUGAGUGAAGAAGGCCUUCGGGUUGUAAAGCUCUUUCGGCAGGAACGAAACGGCGGACUCUAACAUAGUCUGUCAAUGACGGUACCUGAAGAAGAAGCACCGGCUAACUACGUGCCAGCAGCCGCGGUAAUACGUAGGGUGCGAGCGUUAAUCGGAAUUACUGGGCGUAAAGCGUGCGCAGGCGGCUUUGUAAGACGGAGGUGAAAUCCCUGGGCUUAACCUAGGAAGUGCGUUCGUGACUGCAAAGCUAGAGUGCGGCAGAGGGGGGUGGAAUUCCAGGUGUAGCGGUGAAAUGCGUAGAUAUCUGGAGGAACACCGGAGGCGAAGGCGGUCUCCUGGCCCGUUACUGACGCUCAGGCACGAAAGCGUGGGGAGCAAACAGGAUUAGAUCCCCUUGUAGU